rnacentral:lncRNA from 1 species
GGGGAGGAUUGUCCUUUAAAAUAAUCUCAAUUGGAUCUACGUCCUUAUGUUGGCCAUCUUCACAUAGGAGAAUUUCUGGAGUAUCCAAUUCCACAUCAUCGAAGGAUUGAUGAGCUCCUAUAGUCCAGCACCUUCCAUCGACCUGAGCGCAUAGGGUGUGUGAGGGUUAGAUGCCUUAGAUGCCAGCUGUGACCCGAGGUUCGGGCACGCAGGGCACGCUCCAGCCCCAUAUUUGCAAUGCUGCCCGGCACAU